AGCAUGGUCUUAGCUUGCUAAGGCCGAUGGCGACCGGCGCACGGGUGAGUAACGCGUAUCCAACCUGCCUUACACUCUUGGACAGCCUUCUGAAAGGAAGAUUAAUCCAGGAUGGGAUCAUGAGUUCACAUGUCCGCAUGAUUAAAGGUAUUUUCCGGUAGACGAUGGGGAUGCGUUCCAUUAGAUAGUAGGCGGGGUAACGGCCCACCUAGUCUUCGAUGGAUAGGGGUUCUGAGAGGAAGGUCCCCCACAUUGGAACUGAGACACGGUCCAAACUCC
rnacentral:rRNA from 1 species